CUGGAGGUUUCAGAAAGUACAGAUGGGGAGAAAGAUUAAAUCAAUUCUGUGAGAACAACUGCCUAAAUGAUUUCUACUUAAGGUACACUGGACAAAAAGGAAUGGUGGGAGAUACCAAUUUCAUUAGUCAGGGCUACGCUUACCAGGAGAGAUCCAACUACUGGAGCCAAUCUAUGAGGAUGACUUUCCUUAGCCUCUGCCUAUUUGAAUGCUUCUAGCUUAUUUGAAAGAAGAAGAAACACCAGGCUUCCACUAACAAAAUGAAGCCUUAUGUGAGGACUCGAAAUGGGUGCAUUCACUUGAGAAAUGUGAACAGGGCUGCAUAUCAUCAGCCAGGCUUCAAGACGUCUUGGCUGCCUUGGUGGUGUAAACUUCAGUAUCGUUCAAUACACACUCACUGGUGAGUGAAUUCACAUAAUAAUUUCUAACAAUUGCCUUUGAUCGAACUCCAUCAGCCUGUAGGAAA
rnacentral:lncRNA from 1 species